CAAAUGUGGCAGAGGAAUAUCAAUUUUCACGGUGUUGCCACAUGGGUGCUAUGGAAAACAAUUGACAUGCGUAUGAUUAUUGGGCUCCCUAAACAGAUUCAAGGAAAGAGGACACUUAUGAGACGUAUAUUGGGAUACCUUGAGGAUAGUGAUGAAAUACUUCUAUCUGUGGGCCGUGGUGCCUAUAAGGUUCAACUUAAGUCGAAGAAGUCUAAAAAACUUUGUGAAAACAGUUAUUUAACUCGCUAUCAUUCUUUCAACAGUUUCUAUCCUCCAGGAACAUUCAUUGCUGGCGGAUGUGAUGGAAAUGAUGCAUGCUACACAAGGUGAUUGUCUGGUUUGAUGUUCUAAUGUGCUAAAAUGGUAACAGGUGAAGAAGGGCUGCUGCAGAUGUUAGUUCUCACUGAGUUUGUGCAUUCCAUCAAUGUUGUCAGCAGUGUUUAUGUGUUAUCUAAAACAACUUACCGUGUCUUAGUCUAGCCAAGUCUCUAAUGCAGCAAGAUGCUUUUGAAUACCUGAUCCAGGGAAUUCAGCUUACUAGUAUUAUAUCAAGUCUCGGAUUUCGUCGUCUCUUGUUCUUGUUUGGUGUUUGUGCUUGGCAGCUCGUCUAUUGAGCCAUGAUAGUUUCAGUCCUGUGUAUCACCAAAUCUUGUUUGUUUGAGUGUGCUUGUUAGCUGCGGUUUGAAAAGCAUGUCUACUGUCUUGUCUUGAAAGUGAGUUUUGCUUUGCUGCUGCUUGUCCAACAUUACUUACCUUGUAAUGGUUCAUUUGAGCCAGAGCACUCAUCACUGACUCAGCUAUUUGGUGCUGAAGAUACUCGAAAUCGCAGGAACUGGACAGCUGAAACUGCUGCGAGUAGCUUCCUUGUUGGCAAGUGGAAUUAAACCUGUAGGUGUGUGCUUUUACAGUUUGAUUGAGAAGCUCAUAUUUUCCUGUAGAUUGGGAAGGAUGUCGAGUAUCUCCUGGUGGCAAAGCUUUCUGCAGCAGUUUAGUAUUGUUCCCAAAUUGUUCAGAUCCGAAGGUGUUGCCAUUUAUGUUGUGCGGCUUGCUUGCAUUGGUUUCUCCUCAACCUGAACUGAACACAUUUUCUUUCUUCAGUGUGUAAUGGAGGAAGGAAAUGGUUGAUAAAACCAAGAGGCACAGACAGAGAUGUGCUGCAUCAGAGUACUUCUCUGUAGAUUGGUGCGCUGGAAAUGUUCAACGAUCUAUGAUCGACUGCAUUGAUCAAAAAGAAGAGAAAAAAAACAGGUUUGAGCAUAAACAGAAGCAUGUCUGCCUGUCGUUGAAGAAACCAUGUGCACUGCAACGAUCAACCUGCCUUUUGUUUGAAGUACACUGCUGUUUUGUUUGAGGUACACUGCUGCAUGCACUAGUCUUUUGCAUGGGCCAUAAACCAGAUGCCUCCUACUCGCGGUUUCUAACACAAGCAUGCCAUAGCUGUAACCAUCUGACUAGUGUGAUAUUGUUCCAAAGUUCAGAGAACAUAGUGCUGGAUCUUCGGCUGCAAUGCAAUGCAGCCCACCCUUCCUGUAGCUGCAGUCAGUGAUUAUGAUGAUGCUUUCAUCCCUUGCACACAGCUUUGCAAGCGCAAAUUCCUAAAUAUGCUGAUUGGAAGAAUUAUAGCAAAGCCCUCUAGCUGUCAAAUGGAACAAACAAAGGGCUUCAUUUGUUUAGCAUUUUACAUUUGGCUGUCAACCGAAAAAAAUAUAUCAUAUUUAUUUAGCUUUUAAAAUUUUAAUAAUGGUUUGAAAGCCAUAUUGUUCCAUCUUUUGAGGGAACCGAUCCAUCUUCCAAAACUUAAGAAUUUGAUUCAUUUGGCACUAGCCCCUCUGCCCUCUGGACACUAUUGUACAACAGAUCUCUCUCAUUGUGCAGGAAAAAUUGUUCAAAAAACUAUGAGUUUGAGCACUCUUCACAAAGUGAGUCAUUCUGCUGAAACAUAAGCUGUAUUACUGCAUAAAUGUGUGCAUAGUCUAUUUUUGCCCUCUUCUACAGAAAAGGAAAUUCAGUUAGAUCUGCAUGAUGGCCACUCCAGAUAAAAUUGGAGUACUAUGUAGGAACUGUGAAGCAACAAAGGAUGUUCAUGCCUUUCCGAACCUAGUGGAUUAUUGAUAGUAAAAAUUGCAUUUGUUGAUACUAAACAUUUGGGGGUUGUUUGGAUAGCGAAUAUUAGCGAUGGAUUUGUACAGAACGAGUUUGUAGCUGGUUUUUAGCAAAACCAGUUUUACCCCUUUUUUAUGGAAUGAUCAGUUUAAAGAAAAUCAUGUUUGGGGUUAGGAAAGUGCAAAUCUAGUUCUUCCUGUUCCAUGUUUGGUUACGGACGGGGCCUAUUCCAUUGCCUCGUAAUAUUCUCUGCACUUUUUUUCUUUUCGUCCUUUGAUUGACAAUUCCCAAGGUACAGCUGUCAAUUCCUUGUCGCCGAUGCAUCAUGCAGCCACCCCAACUCGGCGGAUCGCUCCCCAUGUCUACUGCUCGCCUCCCAUCAGGCCUCCAUGAUUCGGCACGCAGACGCCAAAGCUUCCUCUCAACGCGACUACCUACCGCCAUUCUUUGGUCUUCCUACGAGCUCUGCCCGACGAGACGAGGUCGGCCUGCAGGCGUGUAGCCCCUCGACACCGGCAGCGGAGAGUUCAUGCGAGUGCUUGAUGCGGUUGGCGGUGACGCCCUCGGCGGUAAGCCACACGGCGGAGCUAGUGUUGUGGCUGGAGGUCGGCGAAUCACAGGAACGCCAUAUCGGCAUGCUUUCCACGCAGUCGUGACAAGGAGGACAGGGAGGACGAGCGUGAGGAGAACGAACGAAGAAGAGAAACUGUAUGGGAUCGGGUAUAUGUAAAUCGCGUUUUUGGAAAAACGACUAAUACUCGUUUUUCUAUAAACGCAAAAUUCUGGGUUUUACGAGAACUGAGUUUCCUAUAACCACGGUUUGUUACAGCGGCCAAACAAGGUUUUAUUCUGUUAGUCUGUUUUCCUGGUUUAUAGCGAUCGUUGUCUCGGUGCCGUGGCCAAUGUGGAAAGAAUAUAAUCCACACAUCUUAGUUUCCCUAGAGUACAUCUGAAAGCAGCAACUUGUAUUGGUCAUGAUCUAGACCUGUAGAAUCGAGGCCACUUUGGAAGAACUUGUAACCGAAUCGGCCAAAGAGGCUCGUGGCUCGGACGAUUGACUCACAUAUUACGCCGCAAGGAGCUGGUAUGACUGCUCCUGCACGAUGAUAUGUCACUCUGCUUCUGCUAUAUAUUCUUGGCUAGCAGCAAUAAUCUUGUGAUUUCAAAUUACAGUGGUUUACUGAACUAUGUGGUAGAAAUUUUGAAAUGGUUGCGAUAGCGCUGGCUUGCAUGUCCACUAACACAUGCUCAUACAGACAUGCAGUAUAUCUCAGUGUCUCAUAUGGCAGUAGGAGUACAAUGAAUAUAAAUUGGGAGAUUGUUGUGUGAGGCAAUAAUUGUGUUUUUGCUGUUUUGCAGGUCAUUAAACCGGAUACUAGUCUAUAGCUCCAGUAAGGACGAUCGAUCGUCAGUGGACAGUAGGACUCAUUCAAACUGACAUCGACAUGUACUGAAAGUAGCGGCGAAGACUACAGAUCAUUGACCCCGGUUGGCAGUUCAUGGCCAUGAGUAGUAGUAAUAGUUGCCUUACUCCUCCCACCAUACCCACACAACCAAAGGGGCAGAGAAAGAAGCUCCACUCAGAAAUCCAGCAAAUCACCCAUGCCAGGUCUGAUCUGGUUGUGUGUGCUCUUGAUCGUCUCUUUCCAUGAUGAUGGUGUUGCUGUUGCUGGCGUCGGGGAGUUCAUCUACAAUGGGUUCGCCGGCAGCAACCUCCGCCUCAACGGUGCAGCUUCCGUAACACGGGAGGGCGUCCUUACUCUCACGUCGAACAACUUCAACAUCCAGGGAGGAAGUCCAUGAGCUUCUCGACCACUUUCGUGUUCGCCAUCACGCCAUACCACUCUGGUCGUUCCGGCGAUGGGUUGGCAUUUGUUAUCUGCGCCGCCCCAGAUUUGUCCACUGCACUCCCGGGGCCAUACUUGGGCCUCGUCGAUCCAUACAACAAGUUCCCAGCUACAAACCCGUUCUUCGCCAUAGAGCUUGACACCGCCAAAGACCUAGAGUUCAAAGAUAUAGACAAUAACCAUGUCGCGGUUGAUCUCAAUAGCCUCAAGUCUGCCAGCUCUAGCACCGCGGGCUACUACAUCGACAUCGACGAUGACACGGAGGGUUAUGCUACUGAGCCAAGCUUCAAGGCGUUGAGGUUUUCUAAUGGAAAUCCGAUGCAGGUAUGGGUGGACUAUAACAGCUACAACGGCCAACUCGAUGUCGCGCUUGCUCCUGUCCCCAUGUCUAAGCCCAGUCUGCCGCUUUUGUCUUACUCCGGCUACUCUGUCAACCUUGCCAAGUUUUUGGGGUUUAACGACACAGUUCAUGUUGGCUUCUCCGCCGCGACGGGUGAUGAGCAUGGCGGCACUCAUCAGAUUCUUGGAUGGAGCUUCAGCAUGAGUGGACCGGCGAAACCACUUGACUACUCGUUGCUGCCACUAAAGCAAGAGAAGGAUUUCAAGAAAAAACUCAUCAAAUGGCUGCUUGCAUCUUCGUUCAUCAUACUGCUUGCAGGUAUAAUAAUAGCCUGUCUUCUUAUUCGACGGUGGCGCAAGACCAGACAUGAAGAGAGGACGGAUCAAGACUGGAAGGCUGAGCUCGGCCCCCGCCGCUUCGCAUACAAGGACCUCCGCAGGGCAACCCAUGGCUUCCAUGAAAUGCAGCUUCUCGGGAAAGGCGGCUUUGGGCAAGUCUAUAGAGGAGUCCUUGCCUCCUCAGGCAUAGACAUCGCGGUGAAGCGGGUCUCCUCAGAUUCAAGGCAGGGGCUGACAGAAUUCACGGCGGAGAUCAUCAUCCUUGGCCGCAUACGGCACCGGAACCUUGUCCGCCUGGUCGGCUAUUGCCGGCACAAGGACGAGCUUCUCCUGGUCUACGAGUACAUGCCCAAUGGCAGUCUGGAUAGCUACCUGCACGCCCAGACUAGCAGCCACGUGACGCUCUCCUGGCCUCAGAGGCUUCACAUCAUCAAAGGUGUCGCAUCCGGGCUUCUGUACCUCCACGAGGACUGGGAGCAGGUUGUCUUACACCGCGACAUCAAGGCCAGCAACAUCCUCCUUGACGGGGAGAUGAACGGCCGGCUGGGCGACUUCGGCCUUGCAAGGCUGCACGACCAUGGUGCUGACGCGCACACCACACAUGUGGCCGGCACAAGGGGCUACCUCGCCCCUGAAUUAACGAGGUUUGGCAAGGCGACCAAGGCCACUGAUGUGUACGCUUUCGGUGCUUUCAUUCUGGAAGUGACCUGCGGGAGGCGGUCGGUGGGGCUCAACGUCCGUGGCGAGCUUCUGGUGCUCGUCCAGUGGGUGAGAAACACGUGGGCGAGCUGCUCUGGCUUGAUUGUUGACACUGUGGAUCCGAGGCUGGAUGACUUCGUUACCAACGAGGCGGAGCUGGUGCUCAAGCUAGGGCUGUUGUGCUCGCACCCCUUACCUGCGGCGAGGCCCGGAAUGCGCCUCGUUAUGCACUACCUCGACGGGGACUUGCCUUUGCCUGAGUUCUCUCCCGGAUAUCUCAACAUUACAGAUGUCGAUCAGGUUCUUGACGAAGUGCCUCCCUCGGUGUCGAACACCAUUACAGGCCUGUCGGGUGGCAGAUGAAAUAUUUAGGCCGGCCAAGAAAAUGCUGGCGAAUCAAUGUAUCUGCUUGUGAUAUCCCCAGCGUCAGUAGAGCGCUUCCCAAUCUUGAGGAGUGACCUAGCAGUAAAUUAUAUUGUAGCCGCAAGUUACAGCACUA